rnacentral:tRNA from 1 species
CAAGAAAUAGUUUAUUUAAAAUAUUAACUUUGGGAGUUAGCGAAAAAGAAAUUUCUUUUUUCUUGA